GGGGGCGUUCUGGAUUCGACGGGGAUGGUAGAGCAUGAGAAGCGAGCCGGGGGGUUGCGGACCUCGUCACCAACGCAAACGCCAUUAACUGGCAACAAACAACUUUCUCUCGCUGCUUAAUAACCAGUGAGGCUCUCCC
rnacentral:tmRNA from 1 species